rnacentral:rRNA from 1 species
UGAGCAAUCUGCCCUUCUCAUCGGAAUAAGCGUUGGAAACGACGUCUAAUGCCGAAUACGACCUCCUUUCGCAUGAUCGGAGGUGGAAAGCUCCGGCGGAGAAGGAUGAGCUCGCGGCCUAUCAGCUAGUUGGCGGGUAACGCCCACCAAGGCUACGACGGGUAACUGGUCUGAGAGGACGACCAGUCACACUGGGACUGAGACACGGCCCAGACUCCUACGGGAGGNAG